CCUACGGGAGGCUGCAGUGAGGAAUAUUCCGCAAUGGACGAAAGUCUGACGGAGCGACGCCGCGUGGAUGAAGAAGGCCGAAAGGUUGUAAAAUCCUUUUGCUGAUGAAGAAUAAGUGUGGUAGGGAAUGACCGCAUGAUGACAUUAGUCGGUGAAUAAGCCCCGGCUAACUACGUGCCAGCAGCCGCGGUAACACGUAGGGGGCAAGCGUUGUUCGGAAUUAUUGGGCGUAAAGGGCAUGUAGGCGGUUUUGUAAGCCUGGUGUGAAAUCCUGCAGCUUAACUGUAGAAUUGCAUUGGGUACUGCGAGACUUGAAUCACAGAGGGGAAACUAGAAUUCCAGGUGUAGGGGUGGAAUCUGUAGAUAUCUGGAAGAAUACCGGUGGCGAAGGCGGGUUUCUAGCUGAUGAUUGACGCUGAGGUGCGAAAGUGCGGGGAGCAAACAGGAUUAGAUACCCCUGUAGUC
rnacentral:rRNA from 1 species